GGCGGCGUAGCUUAGUUGGCUAGAGCGUCCGGUUCAUACCCGGAAGGUCACUGGUUCAAGUCCAGUCGCCGCUACCA
rnacentral:tRNA from 2 species